rnacentral:rRNA from 1 species
GACGAACGCUGACGGCGUGCUUAACACAUGCAAGUCGAACGGGCCCGCCCCUGUUUUUGGGGGUGGGUUGAGUGGCGAACGGGUGAGUAUCACGUGAGUAACCUGCCCCCUGCUCCUGGAUAACUGCUUGAAAGGGCGGCUAAUACGGGGUGUGCCGGCUGGUCCGCAUGGGCCUGGUCGGGAUAGUUUCAUCUUCGGGUGUUUCGGUGGGGGAUGGGCUCGCGGCCUAUCAGCUUGUUGGUGGGGUGAUGGCCCACCAAGGCGGUGGCGGGUAGCCGGCCUGAGAGGGUGGGCGGCCUGACAGGGACUGAGACACGACCCAGACUCCUGCGGGACGCAGCAGUGGGGGGUAUUGCACAAUGGGCGGAAGCCUGAUGCAGCGACGUCGCGUGAGGGAUGGAGGCCUUCGGGUUGUGAACCUCUUUCUCCGGUGGUGAAGGCCCUGUCCGUUGCGGCGGGGUUGACGGUAGCCGGGUAUGAAGCGCCGGCUAACUACGUG